CUGUCUGCGCCCGAUCUCGUCUGAUCUCGGAAGCUAAGCAG
ensembl:rRNA 5S_rRNA 5S ribosomal RNA